rnacentral:lncRNA from 1 species
UUCUACUAUGCAUAUUUUGUGAAACGAGGUGCUUUCUCAUAAGUUCAACCCCAUUAGGGACAUCAAGCAUGGAAUGGCUGGAACAAAGCAUUUGUUCAUCUAUCAAUUCAGGUCAGUGGUCUCCCAUUCGUCUUUUCCGGUCAGGAUCGACGCUAUCUUAUUUUAUUUUAUCUUUGGGAAAGCUUAUUUAAGUCAGACUAGUUUAAUUAAUGAUUUGUUGGAUAAAUUAUGCGGUUUUUCUAGCCAUCAGGUGAAUGCUCAUAAAAACAACAUUUUCUUUUCUAAAGGGGUAAACAAAGAUUCAGCAGGACAUUUUUGUGAUAUGUUUUGUUUUCAUAAAUUCCAUAAUAUAGGAUCAUACUUGGGUAUCUCUUUUUUCUAAGAAAGAGUAAUUAUUAGCUCCUUGAGGUUUGUGGUGGAAAAAGUUAUAUCUAAGUUGCAAAGGUGGGAUACGAAGCAGCUGUAUCUACCUGGUAAAGUUACUUUAGCACAAUUAGUCUUACUUACAAUUCCUAGCUAUUUGAUACAGUCAUUGAGGAUUCUGAAAGGAAUUGGAACCUUGGGUUUAAUCGUAGAAUGGGGAAAUAUUUGGUAUUCGAAGCUGAAUUGUAGGGUAUUCUCGAUGGUGUGGCGUUAGUACAAAGAAGGCAACAAGACAGGAUAUUGGUACAGACAAAUAAUAUGAAAGUUAUUAGAGCUAUCAAGGAAGCAUUGUCGAAGCGGUCAAAUUCAACAAUAAUCAGGCGGACAACUCAGCUUUUGCAAAGUGUAGAGAAUUGGUCAAUUAAACAUGUCCUUAAAAGAAGAAAAUGCUGAAGUUGAUCGUAUUGCCAAGUUGGCCUUUGAUAAGGGGAAAGCUUACAAUUAUAUAUAGAUUCUCCUUUUGACUCUUUCUAGCUUUUUAUAAAGUAUUUUAAUUUAUUCAGCAAAUAUAUAUAUGCCAAAUAAACGUAAAAGAGCAAUGGUUAAGCUCUUUUGACAUUUUGAAUGUCAGGUUC